UCAUGUAUUUUCUCCAUUAGAGGAAUCAGAAUUGGCAGAGAGAAAAAAAGCAAGAAAAUCAAAUGUAAAAACGCCAGUGCUCCUAAUACCUCUUGGAAAGAAAGUGGACACCUCUGUUAACAAAGUUAUGAUGAUUUCUACCUCCGUACACAUUUUCGAACUUCUCAGAGAGGAACCAACUCACCUAUAUUUUCCUCUUCUUGAGUGUGGUAAUCUCUGGAGGAAGAUAAUGAUGGGUCCAAAGAAUUCGAUAAAUUGGGGCAACCCAAUCUCAGACCAUUCUCCACUCCUAAGAAUGCUGCAGCUGAGGCCCCGCCACCUGACACUUUCCUGCCCCUGAGCCCUGCUGUGGUUUAGAGAACCACUUAAUUGUCAACGGCUGUUCUCCUUGGUUCCUGUGUGGGAUGAGGCUUGCAGUUAUGUGCCACUUUUUUCAAGGAUUGCUUCGUGUAGGGGUGGACGUGGCGUCGGGGAAGGGUGGUGGAAGAAAUCAAGAAUGGGAUAACCAGUUCAUCUCAUCACAGGGCUAGAAAGAACAAUAAUUCUCCUGGCCUCCAGUUGAGAGCAAGGGAAGGUUUGUGGACUCUGACAGAGGCAACGGGGCACUCUGUGCAUAAAGGACUGUGUGUACCAUGUGACAGGUGCUCGGUGAAUUUUUCCUCUUGAAAUUUGACUACCUUCUUGAUAUGCCAUUGCUUCUUAGUGCCUCCAGAAAAGAGAAUAGAAAAAACAAAAGAGAGGAUAAUAUGAUUUUUCACUGACUUUUUAAAGCAACGGGAUGUUUAUUUUAUUAAAGACUUUUGAUAUAUGCUAAUGGCUUUAAGCAUGGUAAUGAACAUAAUGCAUUUUAAAUUUUCCCUACUCUUAUGCUCACCUUCACCUUGGAUAGCAUGAUUUUUACCAUAAUUAGGGAACAUGAGCUGAUAAAGAAAGCUACAAAGAGUCACUUGCUCAUGUGUAAAGGCUGGAUGCAUGAGAAGCCCCCGUUUUUAAUAAAAUAUAUUCAAUUUGUGGUCUAAUGUAUGUCUCAGCAGUUAGCAAAAAGUGUGUCUGGUUUGGGCCCUAAGGAAGACACCAAAUAAAAACCCCAAACUCCACUCUUCUAGGAUCUUGCAACCAAAGCUGACUAUUGGUGGCUACAUUGUGUACUACAUGGGGUUAGUGCUACAUGCAAAUUAUGUGGACAAGUAAAGCAAGAUGACCCCACAGAUUUUACCCACAACCACAGCUACAUCCGCGUGGGGGGAGGCAAUCCUGCCAUGCCAUCCCGCCCGUCUCAUCCUAAGAGUGGUGGAGAGAGUCUGUGACUCAGCCUGCCAGACUUCCUCUCCAAGCUCUAUUCAAUGUGGAAACCAGCUGAGGCCAGGGACUUAGGCAUCGGCUCCCUAGCUCAGUGUCAACUUAGAACCAAACAGCAAAAGGCACUGGUAGCUCAAAAAAGGGAUGGAGUAAACAGAUGGAGCCAUUUUAUUCCUUAAUUAACAUAACAGCUCUAAGCAAUCUUUCCCCACCCCCAUAAUCUUACCAACAACACUGAGGGGUUCUACCUGUGUUUAUUGGCUAUUUGUACUGUGUGUUUUGAAUAAUUGAUAACAUAUGUGAUUUUGUUCUUAUGUACUGAGCUUGCUUAAUCUGCAUAUUCAUUAAAAAAGAAUUUUUUAAAUCUUUGUCAGAUGUUCUGCAUCUGAAUCAUCUUCUAGUAUUAAACCACAGCCAAGAACUUUUAUGUCUUUUAUCACAUUAAUAUAAAGAUUCAUGGAAAUUUGGGGGCUUGGUGGUUUAGAAUUUCUCUAGUUUCUCCAGUUUGUUUACUUUUUAAGGGCAAGCUAUAAAUAA